rnacentral:rRNA from 1 species
GAUGAACGCUGGCGGCGUGCCUAAUACAUGCCAGUCGAGCGAACGGACGAGAAGCUUGCUUCUCUGAUGUUAGCGGCGGACGGGGGAGUAACACGUGGAUAACCUACCUAUAAGACUGGGAUAACUUCGGGAAACCGGAGCUAAUACCGGAUAAUAUUUUGAACCGCAUGGUUCAAAAGUGAAAGACGGUCUUGCUGUCACUUAUAGAUGGAUCCGCGCUGCAUUAGCUAGUUGGUAAGGUAACGGCUUACCAAGGCAACGAUGCAUAGCCGACCUGAGAGGGUGAUCGGCCACACUGGAACUGAGACACGGUCCAGACUCCUACGGGAGGCAGCAGUAGGGAAUCUUCCGCAAUGGGCGAAAGCCUGACGGAGCAACGCCGCGUGAGUGAUGAAGGUCUUCGGAUCGUAAAACUCUGUUAUUAGGGAAGAACAUAUGUGUAAGUAACUGUGCACAUCUUGACGGUACCUAAUCAGAAAGCCACGGCUAACUACGUG